rnacentral:lncRNA from 10 species
AGCCACCGACCCCACCACUCGCACUGUUUUCAAUGGCUCUGUUGGUUACCAUUCACAACAUUCAACAAUCAGACUUAUACCUCAUUUAUUUAUUUAUUUUUAAUUUUUUCUGUUUUUAGGUUUAAGGGAUAAAUGUGCAGGCUUGUUACAUGGGUAAAUUGCAUGUCACUGGGGUUUGGUGUACAAAUGAUAUUGUCACCCAGGUAGUAACCACAGUACCCAAUAGUUUUUUGACCCAUAGCCUCAUGCCAUCCUCCCCACUCAAGCAGACCCCAGUGUCUAUUGAUCCCAUCUGUGUGUCCAUGUGUACUCAAUGUUUAGCUCCCACUUAUAAGUGAGACCAUGGGUAUUUGGUUACCUGAUGCUGCAUUAAUUCAUUUAGGAUAAUGGCCUCCAGCUGCAUCCAUGUUGCUUCAAGGGACAUGGUUUCUUUUUAUAUCCAAAGGAAGACUAUAUCUUUCAUCUUUGAACUAGUCUUUGGAAAAUGCCUUCUAUAUAACAAAUGUUAUAGUUUUCUUCUAAUUAGGUCUUGAGGUCUCUCAGGAGAAUGGCUAUAAACUCUACCUCACUCUAAUGGGGCUCUAGGGGAGGGGCCUGUGGGUCUUUAGAGUAGCCUUUCACUGGACAUUUCUUUUUCCUGGACCACAGCCUAAUGCUCAAGUAUCUGACCCAUGACCAGGUGUCUCACAGGAAACUUGUUUAUACUGGCAGAUGCCCUUAAUAAAUAAAUAAAUAAAUAAAUAAAUAAAUAUAAAAGAAAUAGACAAAGCAAAUCUUAAUGCAUGAACUCAAACAAAUGCUUUCACUGCCAGGCUCCAUAGGAAAACUGGAAGCUUGUGCUUUGUCUCUCCUGGACUCUGCCCUAUGCACCUUUUUCUGCUGCUGAUUUUCAUCUGUAUCUUUUUGUUGUAAUAAACUAUGAGUAUAACAGCUUCACUCGGUUUUGUGAGUCUUUCUAAUUAAUCACUAAACCUUUGGGACCUCAGAACACAAUGUUGUUUCUUCUUUAAUUGAAUUUUCCAUGUUAUGUAAGAAACCUAUGUGCAGAGCUUAGAACUGUACCAUGUACACAGUAAGGAGACAAAUAUUUGUUGAAUGAAUAUAUUGAGCAGCUUUUCUCAGACUUUUUGGUUUCAGAAAUUCUUUACUCUCUGUUUCUUUACUCCCGACCUCAGGUGAUCUGCCCACCUUGGCUUCCCAAAGUGCAAGGAUUAUAGGAGUGAGCCAAAACACCCAGCCACUCUACUAAUUUUUGUAUGGUAGUAAGCACGGGGUUUUGACAUGUUGGCCAGGCUGAUCUUGAACUCCUGACCUCAAGUGACCCCCACCUCAGCCUCCAAAAGUGCUGAGAUUACAGGCGUGAGCCACUGCACCCGACUAAAGAAACCAAAAACUUUAGAUAAGUGAAUUUGGAGGAAAUAUUUAUAACAAGAUAAUUCUAAUUUACUGUCUCUCUGGCUUAAUAAAAUAUUAGUCAAUACCCUAAGAAGAAAGGAACAAAAUCUAAAAAUUCACCAUUCACAAACACAAAUAGUCGGAAAACAAGGUCAAAACCAAAGAACUUGUUGACCAAUUAUCUCUCCUCUGAAAUCAGCUCUUGAAUGUGUUGAACUAGGAUUGAUCUCGGAUUAGGAAAUUUUUAAAAUAUUUUUUAAAGUUUCACUAUUUGGAAUUUAAAAUUAAUCCAAAUUAUGUAAUAUACAACAUUUGGAAUUUACCAAUCAAUACUCUAUCAUUUUAUUUUUCACUCUUCAAAUAAUUUCUUGUUCAAGAGUUUAAAACGCUUUUAAAAUUAAUAGAUUCUGCAGGCUAUGGUCUGUAGAGACUGUCUCUACAAAAAAUAACAAUAUAUAUACUUUUAAAAUAUAUAUAAAAUAUAUAUGUAUUUAAAUGUAUAUGGUUCAAGUAUAUAAAACAUAUUUUUAAAAUUUCAUUUUUCACUGGAUUGUAUGGUAAGCGUAUGUUUAGUCUGGCAGGAACUUGCAAAACUGCCUUCCACAGUGGCUGUCCCACUUUGCAUUCUCAGCAGAAAUAGAGAUGAGUUCCUGUCGCUCCAUAUCUUCACCAGCAUUUGGUGUUGGUGUUUGCAUUCAAGGCAGUCUAAGAGAUGUGUAAUGGUAUCACAUCGUUGUUUCACCCUAGUGACAUAUGGUGUUGAGCAUCUUUUCAGAGGUCUAUGAAAUGUGCUGGGCAUGGUGGCACAUGCCUGUGGUCCCGGCUACUCAGGAGGCUGAGGCGGGAGGGUUACUUGAGACCUGGAGUUUGGGGCUGCAUUGAGCCAUGAUUGCACCACUGCACUCCAGCCUGAGUGACAGAGCUAAACCCUGUCUCAAAAAGAUAAAUAAGGCCAGGCGCAGUGGCUCAUGUCUGUAAUCCAAGCACCUUGGAAGGCCAAGGCGGGUGGAUCACGAGGUCAGCAGAUCAAGACCAUCCUGGCUGACACAGUGAAACCCCAUCUCAACUAAAAAUACAAAAAAUUAGCCAGGCAUGGUGGCUGGUGCCUGUAAUCCCAACUACUCAGGAGGCUGAAGCAGGAGAAUCACUUGAACCCGGGAGGUGGAGGUUGCCAUGAGCCGAGAUUGGGCCAUUGCACUCCAGCCUGGGUGACAGAGUGAGACUCCAUCUCAAUAAAUAAAAA